rnacentral:rRNA from 1 species
UGGUAGUGUAUUGGACAACCAUGGCAGUCACGGGUAACGGAGAAUUAGGGUUCGAUUCCGGAGAGGGAGCCUGAGAAACGGCUACCACAUCUACGGAAGGCAGCAGGCGCGUAAAUUACCCAAUCCCGAUUCGGGGAGGUAGUGACAAGAAAUAACAACUCGGGCGGCGCAAGCCGUUGCGAGAUUGCAAUGGGUACAAUUUAAAACACUUAACGAGUAACAAUUGGAGGGCAAGUCUGGUGCCAGCAGCCGCGGUAAUUCCAGCUCCAAUAGCGUAUAUUAAAGUUGUUGCAGUUAAAAAGCUCGUAGUCGAAGUUCUGGCUGGUCCUGUUUCCGGCUUCGGUCGACUCAGGACCUAGUCAUCCGUCGGAGAACCCUUGUCGUCCUUUACUGGUCGCUUGAGGGAACUGACCCUUUACUUUGAAAAAAUUAGAGUGUUUCAGGCAGGCUCUCGCCCGAAUACUCCAGCAUGGAAUAAUGGAAUAGGACUUUCUUCUAUUUUGUUGGUUAUUAGUGGAAAGUAAUGAUUAAUAGGGACAGUUGGGGGCAUUCGUACUUAAUUGUCAGAGGUGAAAUUCUUGGAUUUAUUAAAGACGAACUAAUGCGAAAGCAUUUGCCAAGGAUGUUUUC